UACGUAGGGAGCAAGCGUUGUCCGGAAUCAUUGGGCGUAAAGCGCGCGUAGGUGGCCUCGUAAGUCCGCUGUGAAAGUCAAAGGCUCAACCUUUGAAAGCCGGUGGAUACUGUGAGGCUAGAGUACGGAAGAGGCGAGUGGAAUUCCUGGUGUAGCGGUGGAAUGCGCAGAUAUCAGGAGGAACACCAAUGGCGAAGGCAGCUCGCUGGGACGUGACUGACGCUGAGACGCGAAAGCGUGGGGAGCAAACAGG
rnacentral:rRNA from 1 species